CCCUUAGAUGUCCUGGGCCGCACGCGCGUUACACUGAUGCAUUCAACGGGCUUAUAACCUUGGCCGAGAGGCCUGGGCAAUCUUGUUAACGUGCAUCGUGAUAGGGAUAGAUUAUUGAAAUUAUUAAUCUUGAACGAGGAAUUCCUAGUAAACGCAGAUCAUCAAUCUGCAUUGAUUACGUCCCUGCCCUUUGUACACACCGCCCGUCGCACCUACCGAUUGGAUGGUCCGGUGAAGCCUCGGGAUUGUGGUUCUUGCCGCUUUAUUGUGGCGUAACCGCGAGAACUUGUCUAAACCUUAUCAUCUAGAGGAAGGUGAAGUCGUAACA
rnacentral:rRNA from 1 species